CGACCUCCCAGGUAAACCAGACGGGAAUGCAUAUUUCAAAGUAAAAGGUAAUAUUUAGGAUCUAUAUAAUAUUUCCGAUAAAUACUUUCGUUGUUUAUUUUGUCAAUUCUUCCUAAUCAAAUAAUGACUUAAAUUGUUACGUGAAAUGUGAAUAAUGAUUUAUUUAACUUUCGUUUUGGACUUGAACAUAAUCCAUAUUUAUCUUAAUUUAUGUUAUGUCCCAAUUCUAGGGCAAGUUAUUGUUUUCGUCCAUAAUAUCUUCAUUUUUACACGAAAUUUGUAUCUGUAUAGCAUUAUACCAAUAUAUUGGAACUACAUUAUACACAGUUUACGAAAUCAUUCAAAUAGCAGGUUCAAGAAAUGGAACUUUGUCUUGUUUAUAUAUAUAUAUAUAUUAUAUAUAUAUAUGAUUAUAUAUCAGAACACAGGUAAAGUUUUUCCCAUAUAUUUACACCAAAUGUGAACCCACAAAAAAACUCAAAAUCACGUUAAUAUGAUCAUUUUUUGGAAUAUUUUUUUGUAAAAUUAUUUUUGUAAUUGUUUUAACAAAUUAUAUCUGUUAAAAGUCAAGAACCAGAACUCUAUCUUUAUUGUGUACAAAUACACCAAAUACUAGUCAACAAAAGAAACGAUACAAGGCAAUGUAUUUUCUAUAUAUUAUGAAAUUGGAUACACUGUACCAAGGUAAAUUGGUCUAAAAUUUUAUUGUUAUUUUCUUUUCAAAACCUUGAUUUAGGGCAAAAACGGAAACAAAUUUUAAAUUUGUUUGUUAUUUCAAAAACCGUAUUUUCAACCAAAUUUUCAAAACUUUAAAAAAAAAAAUAGAAUUAACAUAUUUUUGAGUGAAACAUGGUCGUCCUAAAAUUGUGAAUGCUUUUCCAGAUAACUGAAUGAAUAAUUUUGAUCUUCGAAAUUAAGGGACGACUUUUGUCUUCAUUUUCCGCAAACUCAAUUUGACCCCUGUGUACAAUAACUCGAUAUUUUCCAUCUUUCCAAUUUGGUCAGAUUCUUUUAAAAAUAUGCAUUUCAUUCGUAAAAGAAUGCCUCUUUCAUUGGAUAAUAUAAUUUUUUCAUAUUUUUUUAUAUUUUGUGAUAUAUUUGAGUUCAAAGUUGUAUAUCGUUUCUUCUAUUUGUCUUAUUUACAAGGAAUAUUUUGAAUAUCCUUGUCCUGCGAAAUUGUGCUGUGAAGUGCAAAUAAAUUUGAUGGUGUAAUAAAUUUCUCUACUUUUUACUCGACUUAUCACUUUACUGGCCUGUUAAUUAUUUUAUUUAAUCAACAAUCAGGUAAUUCGUUUUGUCUCAGUAACUCGUUAGUCAAAAUUUUAUUAUGACGUCAUAUUGUUUUGCUUUUCAUGGAUAAUGACGUCACGUCGACAUAAUAUAUUUGUGCAUAUCGUCUACAAAUCAUGAGAGAAACAAAUAUUGUACAAUACAAUAUGUAUCCACUCUCGACAGUUACAUUUUAAAUAUUUAUAACGCUAGGCUAGCCUUGCGUUUUACAUUUGAAAAUUAACUGCCGCUAGUGGAUGAAUGUUUUAUCACACGUGAUGCAGUGAUAGAAUCUCUAUCAAUAUAUUUAUUUGUAAAUGAUUGAUCGACAAGCUGGCUUGUUUAAAUUCGGUUGAAACAAGAACAGUUAUAUUUAGUUACCAAUCUCAAACGUAAAAUUAAUCUUUUAGACCGUAAAAAACUGAAUUUUAUAUUUAAAGCAAUCUGAACAGAAUUUUUAUGUAUACUUUCAUAGUCUCUGCACAAGUUCCAAUCAUUGAAAUUUAUUUUUGUUUUGGAUAUCAAAAAAUGUAAAAUGAGAUGAAUUAAAAUUAUUCCGACAAUUGAUUAUUGAUAUUAAACCCCAUUUUCAGUAUUCAUGGCUAUAUUAAGAAACAUGUUUAAAUAGAUGUAGAAAACCAGAGUGCCUGCGUCAACGCACUUCGACAGGAAAACUAAAUUAAGGUGGUACCUAACACUUUAACUAAAUUUAAUUUGGCUCGUUUAAUUUUCUUAUUAUUUUGACAAAUUAUUUACUUUGACCCUUUGACAAAAAAUAUAAAAAUCAAAAAUUUGAACCAAAUCGUUUAAUCAGAAAAAUUACAUGGUUAUAUAGCAGUUUGACACUUAUUUUUGAUCAUUUGAGAGCUUGUAUCCUUAUGAACACAAAUCAUUAAACUUCUGUGAUUUUACAGAGUUAUCUCCCUGUAGUGUUAGGUACCACCUUAAGUUAUUGGGUUUGAUGUUGAUGGUUCAUUGAUGUGUUGUUUUAAACUUUUAAAUCCGCUAUUGUUAUUUGCAGUGUGUGUUAAAUGGCAACAGCUACUAAAACCUGCGGUGUUUGUGACCUCCGUCAUAUCACAAAACCACCCAUAAUCUGGUGUUCAGAAUGUGAUGAGGGACUAUGUACAGAAUGCCAAGAGCAUCACAGUUUAUCGAAAGGAACCAGAAACCAUAAUAUCAUACCAAUUACUCAAUACACGAAAUUACCAGCUGAUGUGCUAAUGAUUAGCCAAAACUGUAGUAAACACGAUAAAAAGUAUCAAAUGUAUUGCCAGAAGCAUGAAUUACCCUGCUGCAAUAAAUGUAUCGUGGAAAACCACAAUGAAUGCGGAGACAUCGUCGAACUAGAUGACGUCAUUCAUAAUGUCAAAACCUCCAAUGUUAUUUGCGAAAUAGAGGAAACAUUAGUUGAAGUAGCAGAAAAUCUACAGAAAAUUCGCCAUCAUAAACAGAAGAAUAUGUCGACAUUGAUAGAAAGUAGAAAGGAAAUUGAAACACAAAUAAAGACAACCAGAAUAAAGAUCAACAACCAUCUUGAUAAACUACAAGAAGAUUUAAUGACACAACUGUAUGCGGAAGGAGAAAAAGAAAACUCCAAAAUUUGUCAGUUAUUGUUAGCAUUAGAAAAUAAAGAAAAGGAAAUAACAGAUUGUCAGAGAAACAUUAUGAACAUCAAACAACAUGCAACAGACCUGCAAGUCUUUCUCUCACUGACAAAAAUAGAGGAGGACGUCGAUUGCAAAAAUAAAUUCCUACAGUCGCUUGAAGAAGACAAAAAAAUCAAUCAAACUUCUCUUUCAUAUAAGGUCAACACCUCUAUCCAGAGUAUCAUUUCUGAUAUCAGUAGUUUUGGAGAAGUGCGUAUCGAAGCUAAAUCUUGCGAUUUUGUUCUGAUCAGAAAAAAAGCAAAACAAGCCCAAAUGAUGGUACCGACUGUUCAAUCCACAUUAAUUGAAAAUAUAACGUUAACGAAACAAAAAACGAUCAACUCUCAAGGAAUCUCAAUCUACGGAUGUUGCAUGCUGUCGGAUGGUAGAUUGGCAUUUACUUACUACUGGGAUAGUAAGGUAAUUAUAUUCAACAUGAAAGGAUUAAAAGACUUUGAAGUGGAGAUGCCUUGUGAAGCGUUUGAUAUAGUGCACAACAGUGAGGAUAAUACAUUGGCUGUCACAUCUGGUAGUUCAGUUCAGCAGUGUAUUACCAUUAUAGACUUGGAAAAGAAACAAAUCAAGAAAACAAUUUCACUAGAUUCUGAGUGUCAUGGCAUUGCAUUGAAAGGUAAUCGAUUGAUUUAUUCCGGUAGAGACAAAGGAAUACGAAUGAUCAACCUGAAGGACGAGUCGAUAUGUACAAUAGUGCGGGACACCAUGCCACCUGACUGUUACACUGCAACAUUUAGGGAUAGCAUAUAUCAUACAAACAAUAAAACAGACACUGUAACAUGUUAUAAUCUACAAGGAGAAAUACAAUGGACAUUCCAAAAUAAGAACAUUCUUAAGAGUCCUCGUGGCAUUGAUGUAGAUAGUGAUGGUAAUGUGUACGUGGUGGGGUACAAGUCGAACAAUGUUGUAGUUAUCGCACCUGACGGACAGCGACAUAGAAAAUUAUUGACAGCAAGUGAUGGUUUAAGUGAUCCUAUGUCACUUCAUUAUAGCGGAACAAAGAAUCAGUUGCUAGUUGCGAACUUACAUAACACAGCCCAUUUGCUUGAUGUUAUUUAAACAAAUUGGAAGUUACAACUUCUUUAACUUCAAGUCAUUCUACGCAGUGUUUAACCUAGAAGUUCGAAACCUAUUUUGUUACUUUCUAACAGAAAUAAAAAUUUAGUAUGUGUUUUAAACAAAUUCGUUUACCAAU
rnacentral:lncRNA from 1 species